UGUUGUAAGUAAUGAAGAGCGUACGGUGGAUGCCUUGGCACCAGGAGCCGAUGAAGGACGUAGGAGGCUGCGAUAAGCCUCGGGGAGCUGUCAACCGAGCUGAGAUCCGAGGAUGUCCGAAUGGGGAAACCCAGCACGAGUGAUGUCGUGUUACCCGCACCUGAAUAUAUAGGGUGUGUGGAGGGAACGUGGGGAAGUGAAACAUCUCAGUACCCACAGGAAGAGAAAACAAUAGUGAUUCCGUGAGUAGUGGCGAGCGAAAGCGGAAGAGGCUAAACCAUGGAUGUGUGAUAGCCGGCAGGUGUUGCAUUCGUGGGGUUGUGGGGUUCAUCUUGUCAAUGCUGCCGUGUUGGCCGACAGUAAGAAAUCAUUGUGUUAGUGGAAGUGGUCUGGAACGGCCUGUCGUAGAGGGUGAGAGUCCCGUACACGAAAACAUGAUGACUGUCGUGAUGGAAACCCAAGUAGCACCGGGCCCGUGAAAUCUGGUGUGAAUCUGUCGGGACCACCCGAUAAGCCUGAAUACUCCCUGGUGACCGAUAGCGGACUAGUACCGUGAGGGAAAGGUGAAAAGUACCCCGGGAGGGGAGUGAAAUAGUACCUGAAACCGUGCGCUUACAAUCCGUCAAAGCCUUCGAGUGACUUGUCACUGGGGGUGAUGGCGUGCCUUUUGAAGAAUGAGCCUGCGAGUUAGUGGCAUGUCGCGAGGUUAACCCGUGUGGGGUAGCCGUAGCGAAAGCGAGUCCGAAUAGGGCGUUUUUAGUGGCAUGUUCUAGACCCGAAGCGGAGUGAUCUACCCAUGGCCAGGUUGAAGCGACGGUAAGACGUCGUGGAGGACCGAACCCACUUAGGUUGAAAACUGAGGGGAUGAGCUGUGGGUAGGGGUGAAAGGCCAAUCAAACUCCGUGAUAGCUGGUUCUCCCCGAAAUGCAUUUAGGUGCAGCGUCGCGUGUUUCUCACCGGAGGUAGAGCUACUGGAUGGUCUAGGGGCCCACAAGCUUACCGAAAUCAGCCAAACUCCGAAUGCCGGUGAGUGAGAGCGCGGCAGUGAGACUGCGGGCGAUAAGGUUCGUAGUCGAGAGGGAAACAGCCCAGAUCGCCAGCUAAGGUCCCUAAGCGUGUACUAAGUGGAAAAGGAUGGGGUCGCGAAGACAACCAGGAGGUUGGCUUAGAAGCAGCCACCCUUGAAAGAGUGCGUAAUAGCUCACUGGUCAAGUGAUCCUGCGCCGACAAUGUAGCGGGGCUCAAGUACACCACCGAAGCUGCGGCAUUCACACAAUGCACCCCCUUGAUUCUGCGGGUCUUGGGCAGUGGUGUGGAUGGGUAGGGGAGCGUCGUGUGGCCAUGGAAGCGGCGGGGUGACCCAGCCGUGGAGGCCACACGAGUGAGAAUGCAGGCAUGAGUAGCGAAAGACGAGUGAGAAACUCGUCCGCCGAAUGACCAAGGGUUCCUGGGCCAGGUUAAUCCGCCCAGGGUGAGUCGGGACCUAAGACGAGGCCGACAGGCGUAGCCGAUGGACAACGGGUUGAUAUUCCCGUACCCGUGUGAACGCGCCCCUGGUGAAUCAGUGAUACUAACCAUCCUGAAGCGUCCUUACGCCCCUUCGGGGGCCCUGGAUGUGGAUGCAUGGGACCUGAUCUGGUAGUAGCCAAGCGAUGGGGUGACGCAGGAAGGUAGCUGAGCCAGUCAGUGGUAAUACUGGUGUAAGCCUGUAGGGCGAAUGGUAGGCAAAUCCGCCAUUCAUCAAGCCUGAGAGGUGACGCAUAGCCGAAUGAGGCGAAUUCAGUGAUCCUAUGCUGCCGAGAAAAGCCUCUAGCGAGCUUUCACACGGCCCGUACCCCAAACCGACACAGGUGGUCAGGUUAGAGAUACUAAGGCGAUCGAGAUAACUAUGGUUAAGGAACUCGGCAAAAUGCCCCCGUAACUUCGGGAGAAGGGGGCCUCGUCCGGUGAUCACUCUUGCAGUGUGAGCUGGGUGGGGCCGCAGAGACCAGUGAGAAGCGACUGUUUACUAAAAACACAGGUCCGUGCGAAGUCGUAAGACGAUGUAUACGGACUGACGCCUGCCCGGUGCUGGAAGGUUAAGAGGACCGGUUAGCCAGCAAUGGCGAAGCUGAGAAUUUAAGCCCCAGUAAACGGCGGUGGUAACUAUAACCAUCCUAAGGUAGCGAAAUUCCUUGUCGGGUAAGUUCCGACCUGCACGAAUGGCGUAACGACUUCUCAGCUGUCUCAACCAUAGACUCGGCGAAAUUGCAUUACGAGUAAAGAUGCUCGUUACGCGCGGCAGGACGAAAAGACCCCGGACCUUCACUACAGCUUGGUAUUGGUGUUCGGUUCGGUUUG
rnacentral:rRNA from 1 species